rnacentral:tRNA from 1 species
GCCCCCGUAGCUCAACGGAUAGAGCACUGGCCUUCUAAGCCGGGGAUAUAGGUUCGAUUCCUAUCGGGGGCA